rnacentral:piRNA from 1 species
UGAUCAUAGUGGGCCGGUCCUGUCAG